GUGUCAGCAGCCGCGGUAAUACGUAGGGGGCAAGCGUUGUCCGGAAUUACUGGGCGUAAAGGGAGCGUAGGCGGUCUUUUAAGUUAGAUGUGAAAUACCCGGGCUUAACUUGGGAGGUGCAUCUAAAACUGGGGGACUUGAGUGCAGGAGAGGAAAGUGGAAUUCCUAGUGUAGCGGUGAAAUGCGUAGAUAUUAGGAGGAACACCAGUGGCGAAGGCGACUUUCUGGACUGUAACUGACGCUGAGGCUCGAAAGCGUGGGGAGCAAACAGGAUUAGAUACCCUAGUAGUCC
rnacentral:rRNA from 1 species